GACGAACGCUGGCGGCGUGCCUAAUACAUGCAAGUAGGACGCAGUUGCGAACGGGUGAGUAACGCGUAGGUAACUACCUAUUAGAGGGGGAUAACUAUUGGAAACGAUAGCUAAUACCGCAUACUAGUAGAUGGACCUGCGUUGUAUUAGCUAGUAGGUAGGGUAAUGGCCUACCUAGGCAACGAUACAUGGACGAACUGGGAGGGUGAUCGGCGCGACGGGGACGGGGACACGGGCCAGGCUCCUACGGGAGGCAGCAGUAGGGAAGCUUCGGAAAUGGGGGGAACCCUGACCGGGCAACGCCGCGGGAGUUGAGAAGGGUUUCGGAUCGGAAAGCUCUGUUGUUAAGGAAGCGGUACUUAACCAGAAAGGGACGGCUAACUACGUGCCAGCAGCCGCGGUAAUUC
rnacentral:rRNA from 1 species